rnacentral:rRNA from 1 species
UACGUAGGGUGCGAGCGUUGUCCGGAUUUAUUGGGCGUAAAGGGCUCGUAGGCGGCCUGUCGCGUCGGGCGUGAAAGCCCACUGCUUAACGGUGGGUCUGCUUCCGGUACGGGCGGGCUGGAGUAUGGCAGGGGAGACUGGAAUUCCUGGUGUAGCGGUGGAAUGCGCAGAUAUCAGGAGGAACACCGGUGGCGAAGGCGGGUCUCUGGGCCAUUACUGACGCUGAGGAGCGAAAGCGUGGGGAGCGAACAGG